GACUACUGAGCAAGGCCUUGGAAAAUCGGAGCGAUUAGAGCGGUUCAAACAAUACAGAAGUGUAUAAAGUAAGAAUUGAAAGUCUCUUCGCUGCUCUAAUCUCACUCCUCAGAGGUGAUCACUGUGUGGAAGAUGAUCAAAGUAUGACAUUUCUUCUACCCCAGAGGCUGGCAUUUCUGCAGGCACAAAUGAGCUUGGUUUUCAAGCACUGCUCUUUGAACACAAGGAAUUCCUUUAAUGAUCACGCCGGACUAUAUAGACUUUGGAAUCAGACUCUUUGAAUUCCAGCUCUGCCAUUUACCAACUUUGACACUUUGGACAACGUCUCAUUCUGUCACCCAGGCUGGAGUGCAGUGGCACAAUUAUAGCUCACUGCAGCCUCAAACACCUGGGCUCAAGCAAUCCUUCCACCUCUGCCUCCUGAGUAAUUGGGACUACAGGCAUGUGCCACCACACCCAGCUAA
rnacentral:lncRNA from 1 species